GAUGAAGAACGCAGCGAAAUGCGAUAAGUAGUGUGAAUUGCAGAAUUCAGUGAAUCAUCGAAUCUUUGAACGCACAUUGCGCCCUUUGGUAUUCCUUAGGGCAUGCCUGUUCGAGCGUCAUUUAAACCUUCAAGCUAAGCUUGGUGUUGGGUGACUGUCCGCUUCACUGCGGACUCGCCUCAAAAUUAUUGGCGGCCGGUACAUUGGCUUCGAGCGCAGCAGAAACGCGAACUCGGGCCCGUCGUAUUGGCUCCCAGAAGCUAUCUUCACAAUUUUGACCUCGGAUCAGGUAGGGAUACCCGCUGAACUUAAGCAUAUCAAUAAGCGGAGGGA
rnacentral:misc_RNA from 1 species